rnacentral:rRNA from 1 species
UACGUAGGCAGCGAGCGUUGUUCGGAGUUACUGGGCGUAAAGAGUGCGUAGGCGGUUUUCUAAGUUUGGUGUGAAAUCUCCCGGCUUAACUGGGAGGGUGCGCCGAAGACUGGAAGGCUAGAGUAUGGGAGAGGUAAGCGGAAUUCCUGGUGUAGCGGUGAAAUGCGUAGAUAUGCGGAGGAACACCGAUGGCGAAGGCAGCCCCCUGGGCCAACACUGACGCUCAGGCACGAAAGCGUGGGGAGCAAACAGG